rnacentral:lncRNA from 1 species
CUCACUGCUAACCUAGCAUGAGAAGAGUUGAUGUGGAAAUGGAUGAGGCAAAGUCUCACUCAAGAAAAUACUGUGGGCAAGUGAUAGGGGAGAUGUGACUGUGGGAAUGCUAAUGUAUCAGCCCCACUCUCUCACUGGUACAACCCUCAUUGCACUGAGAAAAUUGGUUUGUAUUUGAUUCUGCUGAUGUAGCAAACCAAAACAGCAAGUCAAUUUAUGAUAGAGGAUGGAAAAAAGAAGUGACCCGGUUUACUAAUCCCAGAAGAGACAGGACUAUAUUAACUAAACCUGCAACCUCCAUGAAUGAAUCAAUUUAGUUCUUACACCCUUAUCUUGAUUUUUUUUUUUUAUUUGGACUCUUACAGUCUGGGUUUGCGCAUACCGUAAACUUCCAUGGUAUUCAGAUACUCUGUAGGACUUCUGCAUGAAAAUUAGAAAGGAUUCCAGACAGGAUUCCAUUCUGCUCCUUUAAAUCUUCACAGAUGAUCCAGAUUUCAGACAAAAUUUAUGGGAGCUAUCAUUUUUACUCCAGGACAGUGUUAUGUCUUAUUUUGUGUUGGGGAGAAAUUCCACCCAAGGAAAAGUAAUCUGGGAUCUGGCGCCAACAGGGAUGACUCAGAGACGCUAUGAAGGAAAAUAAAUAAAUAAAAUGCUGCAAGGCCUGCAGCUAAGGUAUUCCUGAAAUACCCAUGCACUCCUUUAUCCAUCAUGUAAGAGCAGGAAAGGUCUAUUCUUAACAGAAGUGGAAUUUUACAUCUGCCCAACUUAACAUCAGUUCAAAUGGUAUUAGUACUGAACGGAAGAAAUCCAAACCUUUGUGAUUUGACUUUGAUUAGUGCUGCCUCACGCUGCAAGCAGUACUUCAGGAAGAAAGCUGAAUUUAUUGCUGUUGUUUCUCACUUCCCAUCGGCAACGCAUGGCAGCACCUAG